rnacentral:rRNA from 14 species
CCGCGGCUAGACGGAAAGACCCCGUGAACCUUUACUAUAGCUUCACAGUGAACUUUGAGCAUGUUUGUGUAGGAUAGCUGGGAGGCUUUGAAGUGGGAACGCCAGUUCUCAUGGAGCCAACCUUGAAAUACCAGCCUGACAUGUUUGAGGUUCUAACUUGGUCCCCUUAUCGGGGAUGAGGACACUGUGUGGUGGGUAGUUUGACUGGGGCGGUCUCCUCCCAAAGCGUAACGGAGGAGCACAAAGGUGGGCUAAGCAUGGUCGGACAUCAUGCGGUUAGUGUAAUGGCACAAGCCCGCUUAACUGCGAGACAGACACGUCGAGCAGGUACGAAAGUAGGUCAUAGUGAUCCGGUGGUUCUGAAUGGAAGGGCCAUCGCUCAACGGAUAAAAGGUACUCCGGGGAUAACAGGCUGAUACCGCCCAAGAGUUCAUAUCGACGGCGGUGUUUGGCACCUCGAUGUCGGCUCAUCUCAUCCUGGGGCUGGAGCAGGUCCCAAGGGUAUGGCUGUUCGCCAUUUAAAGAGGUACGUGAGCUGGGUUUAGAACGUCGUGAGACAGUUCGGUCCCUAUCUGCCGUGGGUGUAGGAUACUUGAGAGGAGUUGCCCCUAGUACGAGAGGACCGGGGUGAACGAUCCACUGGUGGACCUGUUGUUGCGCCAGCAGCAGUGCAGGGUAGCUAUGAUCGGACAGGAUAACCGCUGAAGGCAUCUAAGCGGGAAGCCCCCCUCAAAACAAGGUAUCCCUGAGGACCGUGGAAGACCACCACGUCGAUAGGCCGGAGAUGUAAGCACAGCAAUGUGUU